GGGUGCGUAACACGUAUGCAAUCUGCCCUCAACAGGAGAAUAGCUCCCCGAAAGGGGAAUUAACACUCCGUAACAUCAUGGUGUGGCAUCACACUAUGCUUAAAACUACGGUGGUUGAGGAUGAGCAUGCGCAUGAUUAGUUAGUUGGCGGGGUAACGGCCCACCAAGACGAUGAUCAUUAGGGGAACUGAGAGGUUGAUCCCCCACACUGGCACUGAGAUACGGGCCAGACUCCUACGGGAGGCAGCAGUAGGGAAUAUUGGACAAUGGGUGCGAGCCUGAUCCAGCCAUGCCGCGUGCAGGAAGACGGCCUUCUGGGUUGUAAACUGCUUUUGCCAGGGGAUAAAACGGCUCUGCGGAGCUAAUUGAAGGUACCUGGUGAAUAAGCCACGGCUAACUACGUGCCAGCAGCCGCGGUAAUACGUAGGUGGCAAGCGUUGUCCGGAUUUAUUGGGUUUAAAGGGUGCGUAGGUGGUCUGAUAAGUCAGUGGUGAAAUACGGCAGCUCAACUGUCGAGGUGCCAUUGAUACUGUUAGACUUGAGUACAGACGAGGUAGGCGGAAUUGA
rnacentral:rRNA from 1 species